AUUGAACGCUGGCGGCAUGCUUUACACAUGCAAGUCGAACGGCAGCGGGGAGGAGCUUGCUUCUCUGCCGGCGAGUGGCGAACGGGUGAGUAAUACAUCGGAACGUGUCGAGAAGAGGGGGAUAACCACCCGAAAGGGUGGCUAAUACCGCAUAAAUUCUGAGGAAGAAAGCUGGGGACCUGGGAAUAGGCCUAGCGCUUUUUGAGCGGCCGAUGUCGGAUUAGCUAGUUGGUGAGGUAAAGGCUCACCAAGGCGAAGAUCUGUAGCGGGUCUGAGAGGAUGAUUCGCCACCCUGGGACCUGAACAAGGCCCAAGCCCCUAAGGGAGGCAGCAGUGGGGAAUUUUUGACCAUGGGGGCAACCCUGAUCCAGCCAUGCCGCGUGUAUGAAGAAGGCCUUAGGGUUGUAAAGUACUUUUGUUAGGGAAGAAAAGUCAGCUGUGAAUAAUGGCUGAUACUGACGGUACCUAAAGAAUAAGCACCGGCUAACUACGUG
rnacentral:rRNA from 1 species